rnacentral:rRNA from 1 species
GACAGAGGUGCCAAGCGUUAGGCGGAAUCACUGGGCUUAAAGCGUGUGUAGGCGGGUCGUUAAGUACCUUGUGAAAUCCCCCGGCUCAACCGGGGAACGGGCUGGGUAUACUGCCUGUCUUGAGCCAACUAGGGGCGAGCGGAACAGACGGUGGAGCGGUGAAAUGCGUAGAUAUCGUCUGGAACGCCAAAGGUGAAAACAGCUCGCUGGGGUUGUGCUGACGCUGGAGACACGAAAGCCAGGGGAGCGAACGGG